rnacentral:rRNA from 1 species
AUGAUGGAAACAAGGAAACAUAUUGUAUAUCCCUUGAUCUAUCGACUUUUGAAGCUAGCACUAGUAUUGCAUAUUGCCACUGCUUCCGUUGAGAGAUCUUUUUCAGCUAUGGGAAUUGUGAAGACAUAUUUGUGCAAACGUCUUGAUGACGACGCCUUGGAGUACAAAAUUAUUUGUUAUGUGGAGAAGAGCAAAAUGAGAAAGUUUACUGAUGAUGCAGUAAUGCUUCGAGGGCAUGAAAACACGUGGGAAACCAUUUUAGAAAGGUAA